CAGCAGGGACGAAGCGGAAGUGACGGUACCUGCAGAAGAAGCACCGGCCAACUACGUGCCAGCAGCCGCGGUAAUACGUAGGGUGCAAGCGUUGUCCGGAAUUAUUGGGCGUAAAGAGCUCGUAGGCGGUCUGUCGCGUCGGCUGUGAAAACCCGGAGCUCAACUCCGGGCCUGCAGUCGAUACGGGCAAACUGGAGUGUUGCAGGGGAGACUGGAAUUCCUGGUGUAGCGGUGAAAUGCGCAGAUAUCAGGAGGAACACCGGUGGCGAAGGCGGGUCUCUGGGCAACAACUGACGCUGAGGAGCGAAAGCGUGGGGAGCGAACAGGAUUAGAUACCCUGGUAGUCCACGCCGUAAACGUUGGGCGCUAGGUGUGGGGCUCAUUCCACGAGUUCCGUGCCGCAGCUAACGCAUUAAGCGCCCCGCCUGGGGAGUACGGCCGCAAGGCUAAAACUCAAAGGAAUUGACGGGGGCCCGCACAAGCGGCGGAGCAUGCGGAUUAAUUCGAUGCAACGCGAAGAACCUUACCUGGGUUUGACAUCACUCGAAAACUCGCAGAGAUGCGGGGUCCUUCGGGGCGGGUGACAGGUGGUGCAUGGCUGUCGUCAGCUCGUGUCGUGA
rnacentral:rRNA from 1 species